GAUGAACGCUAGCUACAGGCUUAACACAUGCAAGUCGAGGGGUAGCACGGAGGAAGCUUGCUUCCUUGGGUGACGACCGGCGCACGGGUGAGUAACGCGUAUCCGACCUACCCAUUACUCGGGCACAGCCGCUCGAAAGAGUGAUUGAUUCCCGAUAUGUCCUUGGAGUAGAUUCAAUGAUGAAAGAUUUAUCGGUAAUGGAUGGGGAUGCGUAAGAUUAGGUAGUAGGCGGGGUAACGGCCCACCUAGCCGACGAUCUUUAGGGGUUCUGAGAGGAAGGUCCCCCACACUGGUACUGAGACACGGACCAGACUCCUACGGGAGGCAGCAGUGAGGAAUAUUGGUCAAUGGGCGGAAGCCUGAACCAGCCAAGUAGCGUGAAGGAUUACAGCCCUACGGGUUUUAAACUUCUUUUAUAUAAGAGUAAUGUGCACUACGUGUAGUGUAUUGCAAGUAUUAUAUGAAUAAGCAUCGGCUAACUCCGUG
rnacentral:rRNA from 1 species